GGAUCCCAAGAGAAGGAGAAGAACUGGUUGCUUGAGGACCUAGACUUCUUCGUAUGAAACAAUACAGCAUGCCAGAGAUAAAUUACAGCUGGGAGCUAGACCACAUGAUAUAGAAGUAGCUGCACAUUGAUGUUGAAUGAAGCAGGAAAGCAGAAUACUUAAACUUCUGCCAAACUCCCAAGAAGCUGACCUUCCAAUUUGCAGUGUCAUUGCUUAGGUUGUUUCCUGCCCAUCAAAUGCCAGGGGCCUAGAUUGACCAUUGCCACCGUGCCUGGAGAGGCCAAGAAGUACACCAUGGAGAUGACAAUGACUGUAGCAAUCCAGCAGUCUGCUCUUACUGGGUGAUUGUAAGAGGGUAAAGCAGAUGUGCUGAACUUUGUGAUGAUUUUAUAUUCCAGUAAACACCCAGUAAGACAACAUGGGAGGCGCCAGGGCCCGUAUGGGUAUUGGAGAAGUAGUGGACAAAGUCAGACCCAGCCCAGCCAAUGAGGGCAGGGCCUCACUGGUGUUGGUCUCACCAGUAAUGAAUAGAAGAUGCCCAGAGUGAGUGAGACAACUUCCAGGACUAGAACUGUGUAUGGAGCCCAAACCAGGAGAGUCGGGAGAAAGAGGACAGUUGGACAUUAUCUUCAUGGAUGGAAUCUUGCCAGGGCACAGACUUCAAGAUGUCAUCUUGGAAGCAGAGACUGGACCUUCACCAGACUCAAAACCUACCAGUACCUUGAUCCUAAACGUCUUUCCCGGCUCCAGAACUGUGAGAAAAAAGAAGAAAGAAAGGGAAGAAUAAUAAGGAGACUUUUGUCUGAGUUCCCAAGGUGGAGGUAA
rnacentral:lncRNA from 13 species